rnacentral:rRNA from 1 species
GACGAACGCUGGCGGCGUGCUUAACACAUGCGAGUCGAACGGAAAGGCCCCUUUGGGGGUACUCGAGUGGCGAACGGGUGAGUAACACGUGAGUAACCUGCCCUUGCCUUCGGGAUAACUUCAGGUAACUGGGGCUAAUACCGGAUAGGAAUCCUUGCUGCAUGGUGGGGGUUGGAAAGCUUCGGCGGUUUUGGGUGGACUCGCGGCUUAUCAGCUUGUUAGUGGGGUAGUGGCUUACCAAGGCUUUGACGGGUAGCCGGCCUGGGAGGGCGACCGGCCACAUUGGGACUGAGAUACGGCCCAGACUCCGACGGGAGGCAGCAGUGGGGAAUAUUGCACGAGGGGCGGAAGCCGGAUGCAGCAACGCCGCGUGCGGGAUGACGGCCUUCGGGUUGUAAACCGCUUUCAGCAGGGGCGAAGCUUGUGGUGACGGUACCUGCAGAAGAAGCACCGGCUAACUACGUG